UACGUAGGGAGCAAGCGUUAUCCGGAAUUAUUGGGUGUAAAGGGUGCGUAGACGGGAGUCUAAGUUAGUUGUGAAAUCCCUCGGCUCAACUGAGGAACUGCAACUAAAACUGGGCAUCUUGAGUGCAGGAGAGGAAAGUGGAAUUCCUAGUGUAGCGGUGAAAUGCGUAGAUAUUAGGAGGAACACCAGUGGCGAAGGCGACUUUCUGGACUGUAACUGACGUUGAGGCACGAAAGUGUGGGGAGCAA
rnacentral:rRNA from 1 species